UAUAUUUAAGCACUAUGAAUAUUACUUCUAUCUUGACGUUAUUACUCUUAAAUAAAGUAAUGGAAAAAAAUUUGUUUUCCCAUAGUUAUUUUCACUUGUUUUUUGAUGGCAUUCGAAAUCUCGUACAAACAGUUAAAUGUUCCUUUGUCGGCGGAAGUUUUGGAUAUCCAUGAAACUAAUGAAAAUACUCGUUUUUUAAAAUCGAACAUUUUUGUAAAACCAAUGUCAGUUUUCAAAAUAUUUUCUUUUAUUAUUCUAUACUUGGGAUUGUCAAUAUGCCUCACGUUUUAUCAGAAAUGGAUAUUAAAGGCUGUGAAAUAUCCUUUGACAAUAGUGGUUAUUCACCUGAUAUUGAAAUUUUUUUUGGCUGCUUUUGUGAGGCUCGUAUCGCAAAAAAUUUAUUCAAGAACAUUACCAAACAUAGAUGUUCUUACCUCAGUGAGAACAAUAGGACCAACAGGAAUAGCUUCUGGAAUUGAUAUUGGAUUUUCUAAUUGGGGUUUGGAACUUGUAACUGUUUCCCUUUAUACUAUGACCAAGUCUAGUGCAAUUAUCUUUAUAUUGAUUUUUGCUAUACUAUUAAAAUUAGAAAAGCUGGCUGUCUCUCUCGUUUUUAUAGUAUGUAUGAUAGCUUCUGGCCUGUUCAUGUUUACAUACAAAUCAACCAGCUUUGAUGCUUUUGGAUUUGUGUUUUUAUUAAUUGCGUCUAUGGCUAGCGGAUUGCGAUGGAGUUUUGCACAAAUGAUUAUGCAAACUUCUAAAUUUGGUCUUUGUAAUCCAAUUGAUAUGAUGUUUUACAUGCAGCCGUGGAUGUUUUUUUCAUUAUUGCCAUUUAUGUUGGGAUUUGAAGGCCCGAAGCUUUGGAAUGCUUUUGCAACUAUUGACGGACAAGAUUUCUACUAUGUGUUAAUAAAAAUUACGCUUGGCGGUGUCGUUGCUUUCAUAAUGGAAAUUAGUGAGUAUUUAGUACUCUCACACACUUCGAGUUUGACAUUGUCAAUCACUGGGAUUUUUAAGGAAAUAUGUCAAUUAAUACUAGCGGUGCAGUUAAAUGGGGAUAUUUUGAGUGUUUUCAACAUGGCUGGUCUAAUAUUAUGCUUAGGUGGUAUAUGUUGUCAUGUAGUACAUAAAUAUGUAGUAUUAUUUUCCAAUGAAAGCAUUAAACACGUUGAACUUAAAGAAAAGAAAAAAGUUCUUAGCAAAAAUCCAUCAAAUGCGAUCAAACAAAAAAUACCUCUGUUAAAUGCGGAAAGCCUCAGUGAUUCAGAUGCAGAAGAAUUAACAGAUGAAAAUAAAAUAAAUACCUCUGAUGUAAUAUUUGACAUACUGAAAAGGCGAGAUUCAAGGAGUUUUUUUCGUAGAAUAUGGUUUCUCAAUAUUUCGUACAUGCACUGAAAGUUUUGAAUAGAAUCUUAAAAGGCUUUUUAUGCAUUUUUAAUGGUGUGCAGAAACUGAAUAUCAUCACUGCGGUGUAUAGCCAAUAAACCAUGGUUGGAUUAGGCCCAACUACUUCCAGAAUCAGACUGGGGAAUCUAAUCUCCAAGCUUAAUGAUAUGUGCAUUGCGUUGAGUUUCGGUGGACUAUGCUUGGUACUUCGUAUCUACUAUUGAAAAAAGUUAUUUCGACGUUUAUGGAUCAAUACUCAGUUCGCAGUCAACAGCCCAGUCAGAAACAAUGUUAAGAGCCGUUUGGAUCAGCCCAUUUAAGGUAUCAAGAUGCUUCCCAGACUGCGUAGCUAUCAUUUUGCAGCUCUUCUCCAGGCAUGCCAGUAAUUUAUUAAUUACCAGGUUCCUCAAAAGAGGAGAAAGUACAAAGUCUUUCUUCUCUUUUGUACCCCUGCUAAGUUUUUUUUCUUAAAAUGCAGCAUAAAAAUGGUAUGUUUUUAAUGAUGUGUUAACGUUUUAUAAAAAUGAACAUUUGCACAGAACUUUAAAUUGAAAUCUAAUAAACGUCAAAGUUGUAUUCAAU